rnacentral:lncRNA from 10 species
UGGUGGGCUGCAGGCACAAACCUGGUGUCGCCGUGAGAGGCCGUGUACCCUGUGCCUGGCCAGCAUCAGGCGCGAAACCACACGAUCCUGCCAUUGGGUCAGGGCCACGGUCACAGAGGGCAAGGAGGACACACAAGGCCCAAGCCAUGGUCACGGAGGGAAAGGAGGACACACACGGCCUAGGCUCUCCCUGUUCUGGAUGUUUCAUGUUAAUGGGGCUACGUCGCGUGACCUCACGUGUGGUUCCUCUGAGCGUAGUGCUUUCCAGGGCAACCGUGUCACAGUGCAGAUGGACGCACGGACGGCGGUGAGCCGUGAGCGCCAGGCACAGGUCCAGUUGUGGACGGAGGUUUGCAUUUCUCCUGGGUCCACAUCUAUGGUGCCCCCAUAGGGCGCCUGAGGCUCGCCCCGUCAGGCUGCCAUUCUGGGAAGAGGACUGGGGGGAGCCUCUGGCCCCCAUACCACCGCCCAUUCCCCUGGCACCUCAGCAGACACCUGGCCUCCUCUGAGAUCUGGGUGGACAGGACUAACCCUCUUUGAGACACGCCAGCCCAUGCGCUUCUGGAACUC